UACGGAGGGUGCAAGCGUUAUCCGGAUUCACUGGGUUUAAAGGGUGCGUAGGCGGGUUGGUAAGUCCGUGGUGAAAUCUCCAAGCUUAACUUGGAAACUGCCGUGGAUACUAUCAAUCUUGAAUAUAGUGGAGGUGAGCGGAAUAUGUCAUGUAGCGGUGAAAUGCUUAGAUAUGACAUAGAACACCCCAUUGCGAAGGCAGCUCGCUACACUAUUAUUGACGCUGAGGCACGAAAGCGUGGGGAUCAAACAGG
rnacentral:rRNA from 1 species